GACGAACGCUGGCGGCGUGCUUAACACAUGCAAGUCGAACGGGAUUUAGUAGACAGAAGCCUCGGCUAAAGAUUACUAAUGAGAGUGGCGAACGGGUGAGUAACGCGUGAGCAACCUGCCUAUGACAGUGGGAUAGCCUCGGGAAACCGGGAUUAAUACCGCAUAAAAUCGUAGAAACACAUGUUUUAACGGUCAAAGAUUUAUCGGUCAUAGAUGGGCUCGCGUCUGAUUAGCUAGUUGGUGAGAUAACAGCCCACCAAGGCGACGAUCAGUAGCCGGUCUGAGAGGAUGAACGGCCACAUUGGAACUGAGACACGGUCCAAACUCCUACGGGAGGCAGCAGUGGGGAAUAUUGCACAAUGGGGGAAACCCUGAUGCAGCGACGCCGCGUGAACGAAGAAGGUAUUCGUAUCGUAAAGUUCUGUCCUAUGGGAAGAUAAUGACAGUACCAUAGAAGAAAGCACCGGCUAAAUACGUG
rnacentral:rRNA from 1 species